rnacentral:misc_RNA from 1 species
CGAACUGCGAUAAGUAAUGUGAAUUGCAGAAUUCAGUGAAUCAUCGAGUCUUUGAACGCACAUUGCGCCCCCUGGCAUUCCGGGGGGCAUGCCUGUCCGAGUGUCAUUGCUGCCCUUCAAGCCCGGCUUGUGUGUUGGGUCGUCGUCCCCUCCGGGGGACGGGCCCGAAAGGCAGCGGCGGCACCGCGUCCGGUCCUCGAGCGUAUGGGGCUUUGUCACCCGCUCGAUAAGGACCGGCCGGGCGCCAGCCGGCGUCUCCAACCUUUUUUUCUCAGGUUGACCUCGGAUCAGGUAGGGAUACCCGCUGAACUUAAGC